ensembl:lncRNA
GCUCACUGCCGCGUGCAUGCCAAUUAGGCCCUAAUCUGAUUUCUGUUCUAUCUCUGCGAACCCCAUUAAAACCCAAUUCUGCUUAUUAACAACAGCUUUCUCGCUUCGCAGUGCCUCGCCCUCCCAGGGUUGCUCCGGCGCUGUGAGGAUCGGGGCUCCGCGCGCCGGGCCGCAGGGGACCCCCUUCUCCGGGGCCGCCGCGCCCGCCCCUCCGCCCCCGGAUGCGCCACCUCCCCACCUCUAGAGCCCCACCUCCCCGCGUUGCCCAGGCCGGGGUCGGGACCCAGGCCCGGCGCCCCCAACGAGUCACGGGACCCCUUCUUCGGGAACAAUGGGAUCGUAGAAAGCUGGAACUGGGCGUUGUUGGGAACUCGGAGGUCAUCAAGCCCCGCCUCCCACGCCCUGCAGGAAUUCCCUAGACGCUGGGCGAUCCUCAGGCUGUUCCCGGUACGGGGAGCUCACUCCCUCUCUCAAGGAAACCUGGUCGGCUUCAAGUUCCCGGCGCCUUCGCUGUGUGACAUUAAUCAGAGCUCUGGACCUCUCCGGUCCGAAGUAGCUUCAUCUGUACCCCGGGGGCGCGAUGAUAAUGCUUGCCUCCUGAGACUGUUGAAGGAUAAGAAGACACCGGCAAAGCAUAAGAGCGCCGGAGUGAGGCAGCUGUAAGGAGCAGCACUACGGAUCCAUCUAGGAGCUGCUCUCAGUGGCUGUUGCUGUCUUCCCUUGACCUUGAGCUCUGGAGAUGGUCUUCUGGGUAGGAUAUGGCUUCAUUCCUCACCUCUCAAGAGGCCAGGACGGAUGUGACACGACAGGCACUGGAAGCAGAGUCAGGACGCCUGGUUCUACCAUCAGUAAAAGCUAACUCAGAAAUGAGGAUGAAGAGCUAAUAACAGUCAAGUGUUUGGAGUUCUUGGGAAGAAAGAUUCAACAUCUACACAAGGCGGCACACCUUUUAAGAACAAGGAGCCUCACCUCAACUUGCCAUGGCAUGGGCCAUGGACCCUUGGAGCAGCUUGGUGAAGGUCAGGGACCCCUGUUCAGGAUCAAGCUUUUCAAUCCAUAAAAUAAUGCAUUUAGGAUUGCAAAGGAAACCAAUUAUACCGUAAUACAGAUAUCAAAGGGCUUCCCUGGUGGCUCAGAGGGUAAAGCGUCUGCCUACAAUGCAGGAGACCUGGGUUCAAUCCCUGGGUCAGGAAGAUACCCUGGAGAAGGAAAUGGCAACCCACCCCAGUACUCUUGCCUGGAAAAUCCCAUGGACAGAGAAGCCUGGUAGACUAUAGUCCAUGGGAUCGCAAAGAGUCGGACACGACUGAGCGACUUCACUUCACUUCACUUCACAGAUAUCAAAAUAUGAAGAUCCACAUUUGUGAAAUAGUACUUUAUGAGCUUCUUUAUUAUGUAUUAAGUAUCAAGAUCUAGCCGCUGGUCAAUCUACUACUGAGAUUUUUGUGAGGCGCAGAAACAAUAUUUUGAUAUCUCUACCACAACUGCUAACGAUAGUCUCUGUAAUUUGCACGUGUGCUGUGGUCACAGGAACUGCCGAUGCUACAGUCGUUUCUCACCUGCAUUCCUCAUGCAAGAAAAUGCUGCCUUUCUACUAGAAGUUAGUGAGAGUAAAGACGUUAUUUUUUUUCACCAGGUAAAUUCAUGGAUCCCUGAAUUCUACCUUUGCACCUGCAAGGGUGCAGGUGGCUGAGGAUGCCAGGU